CUUUUUUGUUUCCCUUUACUUUCUCUCUCUAGAUUUCACCCCCUUUUCUGCUUCGAAAUCCCUAUUUUUUUUAAAACCAGAGGUAGGCUUCCUUUCUUUGCGUGCAAUCUCAAUCUUCCUAGAUUUGAUUCUGGAAGAAGUAUGCCGCUGAUAGUUAGGAGAAAUGCAAAGAUAUCAUGCUGCCGGCUGCAGUAGUGCAGUUAAUAACAGUAUAGGAGGAGCCACAGCUAGGGAUACUUCCCGGGCUGACUCAUCUUCAGUACCAUCCAAAUUUUCAUUGAAUUCUAGGUGGCAUUCUCAGUUAGCUCCCUACAAGUUGAAGUGUGACAAGGAACCUCUGAAUUCCAGACUCGCCCCCCCUGAUUUUCAUCCUCAUACUCAAAAUUGUCCCGAGGAGACCCUCACUAGAGAAAAUGUGCACCAGGGAUAUAAGGAGACUAUUGAUGGACUGGAGGAUUUGAAAGAGACUUCAUCGACUCAGGUUCAGGUUUUUACGAAGCCAGUUGUUCUGAAAUGCAGAGAUGCAAUCAGAAAGUGUCUAAGGGCUAUCAAUGAAUCGCGUGCUCAAAAGAGGAAGGCUGGCCAGGUUUAUGGUGUUUCUCUUUCUGGUUCACUGUUAAGUAAACCAGUGGUUUUCCCUGAACAAAGGCCAUGCAAUGAAGAUUUCAAGAAAAAAUGGAUUGAGGGCUUAUCACUGCAACACAAACCUUUGUGUUCUUUGGCUGAUCAAGUUCCUCAAGGGUAUAAGAAAAGAACACUAAUAGAGGUUCUUAUCAGGAAUAAUGUUCCAUUGCUGAGAGCAACUUGGUUUAUCAAAAUAACAUAUCUUAAUCAGGUUCGUUCUGGCGCUGCAAUUUCUUCUGGAUCACCUGAUAGAUCUCAAUUAUCGCGCACGGAGCUCUGGACGAAAGAUGUUAUUGAUUACAUGCAGUAUCUUUUGGACGAUUUUUUUUCGCUAAAUAAUUCUCAUUCUGCUCAACAUGAUAGAGAUCGAUUUCCACAAGUGGUUUAUACUGGGUCUUUGCACCAUAGGAGUGAUCUGGGACCAGCAAUUACUGAAGGUGGUGAACUGACCCUUCACUUUAAGUGGUUGUAUGUAGUGCGGCUCUUGCAGUGGCAUCAUGCAGAAGGAUUGGUUCAUCCUUCACUUAUCAUUGAUUGGGUUCUGAAUCAACUGCAGGAAAAAGAAUUGCUUGAGACUCUGCAGUUGCUAUUGCCUAUCAUUUAUGGAGUUCUGGAAACCAUCAUUUUAUGUCUGACGUAUGUACGCAAUCUUGUGGGUGUAGCUAUUCGCUUCAUUCGCGAGCCUUCUCCAGGUGGAUCUGAUUUGGUUGAUAACUCCCAGAGAGCCUACACAAUAUCUGCACUUGUUGAGAUGCUUCGCUAUUUGAUACAGGCUGUGCCAGAUACAUUUGUUGCUUUAGAUUGCUUUCCCUUACCAACUUGUGUGAUCUCACAUUCAUCGAGUGAUGGUUUUUUAUCCAAGUUCUCAGACGAUGCUGAGAAAAUAAAAAUUUAUUCGGCAGAUGCAUAUGUUGUCAAAGGUAAAGGGUUUGACUCUCAAUACCAAUCCUUGUCAUUUAACCAUGUUGUUUCCACCAUCCGGAAACGUGCCGAUAAUCUUGCUAAAGGCGCAAGUUCUGGAUAUCCUAGCCAAAGUGUAGCAAAAGUUGUGCAGACACUGGAUAAAGCCCUUUUGCAAGGAGAUCUGAUAGAUGCUUAUAAACAGACCUUCACCGAUCUUUAUGAUGGAGCAGUUGGCGAAGGUUGGGUAGCAGCAGUCAGUCCAUGCUUAAGAUCAUCGCUAAAAUGGCUUCAGACUGUGAAUUUGUCAUUGAUUUGCUCAGUUUUUUUCCUUUGUGAGUGGGCAACUUGUGAUUACAGAGAUUUCCGAUUUGGUCCACCCUGUGACAUGAAGUUCACUGGUAGGAAAGAUUUUUCACAAAUAUUUCUUGCAAUUCAACUUUUGAAGCUGAAGAUGAAAGAGCUGCAGAAACAGCACAAGAAGGGAAGGGCAUCAAGAAAGAACAGUCAGCAGAAGAGCUAUUCCAUCAAGGAUUUGUUGGGAAAUACACAUGAAGCUAAAAGCAAUGGAAAAGGUGUGAAUGGUAGAACAAGUAACUCUUCUGAUAUAUUUAACAGUCCAGGUCCUCUGCAUGAUAUUAUUGUCUGCUGGAUCGAUCAGCAUGAUGGGCAUAAAGGAGAAGGUAGCAAGCGUCUUCAGCUUUUUGUAUUGGAACUCAUACGCUCUGGAAUUUUUUAUCCUCAGGCAUAUGUAAGGCAGCUGAUAGUUUGUGGAAUUAUUGAUACAAAUGGACCAAUGGCUGACCUGAACACAAGGAAGAGACACCAACGAAUCUUGAAGCAGCUCCCAGGGCAGUUUAUGGUUGAUGCUUUGGAAGAAGCAAGAAUUGCUGAGGGCUCAGAACUGCUUGAGGCUAUGAAUAUUUACACAAACGAGCGUCGUCUUGUCCUUCAUGAACUUUUUUUUGAUUCAAAUAACAGUACAAGCGAUUCUCAUGUACCAGCUAAGAAGCAAAACUAUCAUUCUACCUCAGGAAGAGAUGUUGCUUCCCAAGUUUCCUGUGAUCAGAGGAAAACUGUUCAGGCCUCAAAGACUUUCAGGAGAGAAGUGAACCUUGAAGAACUGAAGGCUUCCAUCUCAGUUUUGCUGCAAUUUCCUAGUUUAUCUUUUACUUCUGCAGAUAGAGGAGUGGAUGAGUCUCAAGGGAGUAUCAAAAGAUCUAUCGAGUCAACAUACAACAAGAUGGAUUUAUUUGAAGGUACACCUGUGUGUGAAGACUGUAAAAAGGUAAAAAGACAGAAAUUAAUCGAGGAUAAGAGUUCUUGUCUUCAAGUAUCUUCAUCAAUUCCAUCAGAUGAUGAAGAUAGUUGGUGGGUGAGAAAGGGGCCCAAAGUCUUGGAGUCUUCCACAGUUGACCCUCUGCUUAAGACAACAAAGCAAGUGUCUCGUAUUAGGCAAAAGCUUGUCCGUAAAACUCAGUCUCUUGCUCAGUUAGCUGCUUCUAGAAUUGAAGAUAGCCAGGGAGCAUCGACAAGUCACGUAUGUGAUAACAAUAUUAGCUGUCCACAUCAUAGAAAUGAGGUGAAAAUUUUGAAGCCAGAUGAUGUGACCGAAACAACCCAUCAUGGAGAUAUUCUUUUAGUUGCGAAGGGUUUAAAGCAGCUUCACUUUGUAGAGAAGAGGAUUGUCACUUCUUGGUUGCUAUCUGUAGUUAGGCAGCUUGUUGAAGAGUCUGAAAAAUCUGUCGCCAAGGUUGGCCAGUAUGGCCGGCCGUUUGUUGCAGCUGAUGAGAAGAGUCCCUUAAGGUGGAAGCUUGGUGAGGAUGAGCUAUCGUCCAUUCUGUAUCUACUGGAUGUUUCUUGUGAUUCAGUUUCAGCUGUCAAGUUUCUCCUUUGGUUGCUGCCUAAAGCUAUUAGUAAUCCGAGUCCUACCAUUCAUGGUGGGAGGAACAUUCUAGCAGUGCCCAGGAAUGUGGAAAACCACACUUGUGAAGUAGGAGAGGCAUAUCUUUUAUCAUCUCUCCGAAGGUAUGAGAACAUACUUAUUGCCGCAGAUCUUGUGGCUGAAGCUCUGUCUGCCACAAUGAGUCGUGUUUCAGCUUUUAUGGCCACUAAUAGAAGAAUUACAGGUUCCGGAACCCUAGUUUUUUUUCGUUAUUUGUUGAAGAGGUAUGGCAACAUUGCCAGUGUAAUUGAAUGGGAGAAGAAUUUCAAGGGGACUUGUGAUAAAAGACUUUUGUCUGAACUUGAAUCUGGACGAACAGAGGGAGAGUUUGGAUUUCCACUUGGAGUUCCAUCAGGGACUGAAGAUCCUGAUGAUUAUUGCUGUAAGAGGAUAACUGUUGGGCGGUUAUCUAGAGUGGGUUUAAGCAUGAAAGAUAUGGUUCAGCGUCAUAUUGAUGAUGUCUUGCGCUAUAUCUUAGGUAAAGAGAGAAAACAUUUUGCAGCCAAUGCACCGAAAAGCCCUGCCACUGAAAAAGGGGAUGAUGAUUAUCAAGUAGCUCAACAAAUCAUAAUGGGACUAAUGGACUGUUUUAGGCAGACUGGUGGUGCUUUAAAAGAAGGGGACCCAGGUUUGGUGUCCUCUGCUGUUUCUGCCAUUGUUAGUAAUGUUGGACCCACACUAGCAAAUAUACCUGAUUUUACUGGCGGUGGCAAUUAUUCAAAUUAUCAGCCACCUAUGAAUUCCUUGAAUUUUGCUAAGCGCAUAGUGCACAUUCAUUUAAUAUGUCUAUGCCUGCUGAAGGAAGCUCUUGGAGAGCGCAAAAGCCAAGCAUUUGAGAUAGCUCUUGCAACAGAAGCUUCUUCUGCUUUAGCAAAGGCCUCUCUUGGUCAGUUUCAGUUAGCUCCUGAUUCUCAUGAUUCUAAUCCAAACAUAUCUAGUGACAAUUCCCACGGUUCUGCCAAUACAACUUUUGGGAGAACUACCAAAAUGGCAGCUAUUUCUGCCCUUGUCAUUGGAGCUAUUAUUCAUGGAGUUAUUAGCUUGGAGAGAAUGGUAACUGUCUUAAGAUUAAAGGAAGGUUUGGAUGUUGUUCAAUUUGUUAGGAGCACAAAAACCAUUUCUAAUGGUAAUGCUCUAUCUGUUGGGGCUUUUAAGGUGGACAACUCAGUUGAAGUAUAUGUUCACUGGUUUCGGCUAUUUGUUGGGAACUGCAGAACUGUUUGUGAUGGACUAGUUUUGGAACUCUUGGGUGAACAUUCUGUUUUAGCUCUUUCAAGGAUGCAAAGAAUGCUCCCGAUUAAUUUGGUGUUUCCACCAGCUUAUGCAAUAUUUGCAUUUGUGAUAUGGAAGAGAUUCAUUUUGAAUAGUAACAUUGCAAGUCGUGAAGAUAUACAUCAAUUGUAUCAGUCUUUAACAAUGGCCAUUGGAGAUGCCAUAAAACACAUACCUUUUCGAGAUGUUUGUAUGAGGGAUACUCGUGGACUUUAUGAUAUUGUAGCCGCAGAUACUACUGAUGCUGAGUUUGCUGCCUUGCUAGAGUUGAAUGGUUUGGACAUGCAUUUGAAACCCGUGGCCUUUGUCCCUCUUCGUGCAAGGCUCUUUCUAAAUGCAAUAAUUGAUUGUAAAAUGCCUUCUGCAUUUACACAGGAUGAUGGGAAUAGGUUUUCUAGACACGGUGAAUCUAAAGCUCUGCAUGCAGAGACUGGAUCUAAGCUUUUGGAUAAACUUGUUCGUGCCUUGGACAAUCUGCAACCUGCUAAAUUUCAUUGGCAGUGGGUUGAGUUAAGGCUUCUUUUAAAUGAACAAGCUCUUAUUGAUAAGAUGGAGAACCAUGACAUGUCCUUGGUGGAUGCUAUUCACUCUUCCUCAUCUAGCUCUGAAAGAGCCUCACCUUCUGAGAGUGAAAAAGUUUUCAUUGAGAUUAUCCUCACUAGAUUGUUGGUCAGACCUGAUGCUGCUCCCCUUUUCUCAGAGGUGAUUAAUCUUUUUGGGAGAUCAUUAGAGGAUUCAAUGUUGAUGCAGGCUAAAUGGUUCUUAGGAGGCCCAGAUGUUCUUUUGGGGCGGAAAACUGUCAGGCAACGACUCAGUAACAUUGCUGAAACUAAAAACCUUUCUACAAAGAAACAGUUCUGGAAGCCUUGGGGAUGGUCUUAUUCUGGUGUUGAUCUUGUGACUAACAGUGGAGAAAAGAAAAAGUCUGAAGUCACCUCUCUUGAGGAAGGUGAAGUCAUUCAGGAGGGUAUGGAGACAAAGGGAUGUAUAAAAGGGUCCACUCAAGUGGAUGUUGAAGGUUCCAGUAUCAGCCAGCAGCAUGUAACGGAGAAGGCUUUCAUUGAAUUGGUUCUUCCCUGCAUAAACCAAAGCUCUAUUGACUCGUAUAAUAUAUUUGCAAGUGAUUUGAUAAAGCAGUUUAACACCAUUGAGCAACAGAUAAACUCUGUUACUCAUGGUGUAAGCAAGCAGACUGGUGCUGCUGCUUCUGGAAUCGAAGGCUCUACUAAUAAAAUUAAUAAUCGCAAAGGUACAAGAGGUGCUAGUCCUAGGUUGGCUAGACGGGCACCGGCACCUGUGGAGUCUGCACCUCCUUCCCCUGCAGCUUUGCAAGCUUCUCUGUCAUUGAGGUUGCAGUUUAUUGUGAGAUUACUGCCAAUAAUAUGUGCAGAUGGGGAACCGUCAGCACGAAGCAUGAGGCAUAUGCUUGCCUCUGUAAUACUUCGACUGCUUGGAAGUAGGGUUGUGUAUGAGGAUGGGGAACUGGUGCCAUCUGUUGUAUCCUCAGAAAUGUCUGGAGAUGGUCUUUUUGACCGCUUAUUGUUAAUUCUGCAUGGAUUGUUAAGCAGUUGCAGACCUAGUUGGCUAAAGUCGAAGGAUGCCAAGGAUUUUUCUGGAUUUGACCGUGAAUCAGUGGAGGGUUUGCAGAACGAAUUAGAUUCUAUGCAAUUGCCUGAGAUGAUUAGAUGGCAAAUUCAAGCGGCAAUGCCAAUAUUAUUUCCUUCUCUUCGCAGUACGAUCUCCUGCCACCCACCUUCUGUUCCUAUUGGUGCUCUUAGUUCGCUUCAACCCAGCAUCUCUAUUCCUGGAUCUUCCACUGGAACUACGAAUGCCCCUCAGAGACAGGUUGCAUUGGCACGGAUUGCAAAUAAUAUGUCAGGAAAAUCCAAAUCAAUGCCAUUACUGCAGGAGAAUGAUAUGGAAAUUGACCCAUGGACACUUUUGGAAGAUGGAGCAGGAUCAGGUCAGUCUUCCAGUAGCACUGCAGCCAUUGGCAGCAGUGACCGUGCUAAUCUUCGAGCCUCAAGUUGGCUAAAGGGUGCUGUAAGAGUGAGACGGAUAGACCUGUCAUAUAUUAGCGCUGUGGAUGAUGACAGCUGAUUUUAGGUUAUUUUUAAAUUCGGCCUUUUAAGGUUCACAAGGCCCCUCACAAGUCACAACAGAUUUACCGUCAUUUAAAUCCCCACUAUGUCUGGGCCGUGUACUCAUAGCUGCGGUUCGGAGGCUUUGUUGUAUAUAUAGAGAUAAUUGUCAUAGCUUCAGUUAUACCAAUUGAUCAGGUAUAAUAUCGCAAGAAUUACAUGGAGUUAUUCCUUUGCUUAUCAAUCUUGUAGUGCCUUGUGUAGAUGCUCGUUUCUGUCCGGGGCUAAGUCAGAGCAGACCCGAAGCAGAGCAGCCCGAAGCAGAACAGUUGGAGGCCCAAUUCAGCGACCCAGUUCAAGCCCAAUGACCCAACAACAUUAUCAU